ACAAUUGAAUGCAAGUAGGUUGCAAGGUUGAUGGAAAGUAGAAAAGUUUCCUGACUUGCGUGAACAGAAAAGAAACAUCAAUUUGAAAGGAAACCAUUUAUUUAUUUACUUCCUCUACAGUUUUCCUGACUGCUACAUUUCAUAAGAAGGGAUUGUUUAUGAGGGUCAAGGAGCUGGAGGCCUGGGGAGGAGCUGGUGUUUCUGUUCAAGUUUGAGGGUCCUGGAGCUGGAGCCCAGGGGAGGAGCCAGUGCUGCCACUGAUGUCUUAGGGUCGUGGAGCUGAAGAUCCCAGAGGAGCCGGUGCUGCUAUUCUAGCUUGAGUUUCGUGGAGCUGGAGACCCAGGGAGAAGAUGGUGCUGCUGUUCUAAUUUAAGGAUCGUGAAACAGAAGACCCAGAAAGGAGCUGGUGCUGCCGCUGCUCAGAUCUGAGGGUGUUGGAGCUGGAGCCUGGGGGUGGAGCCAUUGCUGCCAUUGAAGUGUGAGAGUCAUUGAGCUGGAAGUCCAGGAAGCAGCUGGUGCUGCUGUUCUAGUUUGAGGGUUGUGGAGUGCAGACCCAGGCAGGAGCAACAUUGCUGUAGUUCGAGGGUCAGAAAGCUGGCGACCCAGGGAGGAGAGGUCUUGUUCUAGUUUAAGGGUCGUGGAGCUGCAGACCCAGGGAGGAGCAAUGUUG
rnacentral:lncRNA from 1 species